rnacentral:lncRNA from 1 species
UGUGCAAGAAAAAAUUUAUGAAAUUCUGUUUAGCCUAAAAUUCAUUUAAUGUUAAAAUUUUAAUUAUAUGCUGUACAAAUUUCAGGUUUGGUACACAGAAUGUUGAAAUUCCUCAUCUUCCUCAAGAUUUUGAAGUUGCAAAAUAUAACACCUUGGAGAAAGUGGGAAUGGAGGGAGGCCAGGAAGCUGUGGUGGUGGAGCUUCAGUGUUCGCGGGACUCCAGGGACUGUCCUUUCCUGAUAUCCUCACACUUCCUCCUGGAUGAUGGCAUGCAGAGGGUUGCUUUUACCCAAAGUAGUGGAAGAUCUUGGUGUGCAAAGAACAGACGUCGGAAACCUUGGAAGUGGGAUUUAUUUCAGUGAUUUGCUCAGGUAUGUUCGAUCCUUAAUCACAGAAUCAUUACUGAGUACUUGCUAUGUGUUUUCUUCUGUCUUUCCUUGGUGAGGGAGUUUCUCAACCAAAACACAGAUUUAUCUAUUAUAUAUGACCUCAAUAUGCCUGGAAUACUAUUUCAUCUUCAACAUACUUGAUAAUAUUUAAAUCUGCCCUUGGGCCAGACAUGGUGGCUUAUGCCUGUAAUCCCAGCUCUUUGGGAGGCCAGGGCAGGAGGAUCACUUGAGCCCAGGAGUUUAAGACCAGCCUAGGCAACAUAGCAAGACCCCAUCUCUAUAAAAAUUUUAAAAUUAGCUGUGCAUGGUGGCGCUAAUAGAACCCAUAGUUCCAGCUACUAGGGAGGCUGAGGCAGGAGGAUCACUUGAGUCCAGGAAUUCAAGGCUGGAGUGAGCUAUGAUUAUGCCACUGCAGUCCAGAGUGGGCAACACAGUGAGAAGAACCCCAUGUACAUCAUCUGCCAACCUUAUAAUUGGUAUUGUGACAUCAUUUUAUGCAAGGAAACAGACUCAGGGAGGUCAGGGAACUUGCCUGAGGUUGCAGAGCUAAUUAAAGGAUAGAGACUGAGUUCAGGCCCAGGACAAAGUACAAUGAUCCAAGAUAUUUAAAGAGUUCCUACAAAUCAAUAAGGAAAAGAUAAGCAGAUGUGCAAAAGACUUGAAUAGAAACCCAAUAGCAAAGAAAAUGAGCUGGGGCCAGGCGCAGUGGCUCAUGCCUGUAAUCCCAGCACUUUGGGAGGCCAAGGCAGGUAGAUCACUUGAGGCCAGGAGUUCGAGACCAUCCUGGCCAAUGUGAUGAAACCCCAUCUCUACUAAAAAUACAAAAAUUAGCUGUGCGUGGUGGUAUGCACCUGUAGUCCCAGCUACUCAGGAGUUCGAGGCAGAGAGAUUUCUCAAGUCCAGGAGUUUGAGAUUAAGGGCAACACAGCAAGGCCCUAUGUCUAAAAAACUUUUUAAAAUUAGCCAGGCAUUGUGUCAUACAUCUGUAAUCCAAGCUACUCAGGAGGCUGAGGCAGGAGGAUUGCUUGAGCCCAGCAGUCCAAGGCCACAGUGAGGUAUGACUGAACCACUACAUCCAGCUUGGGAGACAAAGUGAGACCCAAUCUUUAAAAAAAAAAAAGAAAGAAAGAAAAGAAAAAGAAAAAAAGAGAGAGCACUGUAGUAACAGAACACUGGAAAUCAUGCAGAUGUCCAUGGACAGUGGAAUGGAUCCGUACAUUUUGGUGGAGUCCUACAUGAAGUCCCAUCCUGCAGUUUAAACAAGUGGACUGUGGCUACACAUGUCAAAUGGAUGAGCCUUAGGACCUUAGUGGAGCAAAAGUUACUAGAUGAUUCUAUAUACAGGCAUACCUUGGAGAUAUUGAGGGUUUGAUUCCACACUACUGCAAUAAAGCAAAUAUUGCAAUAAAGUGAGUCACACACAUUUUUUGGUUUCCCAAUGAGUAUAAAAGGUUUACACUCGUCUAUUAAGUGUGCAAUAGCAUUGUUUUUUUUUAAGAAAUGUACAUAC